rnacentral:rRNA from 1 species
UACGGAGGGGGCAAGCGUUGUUCGGAAUUACUGGGCGUAAAGGGCGCGCAGGCGGCUGCUCAAGUCAGGCGUGAAAGGCCUGGGCUCAACCCGGGAAUUGCGCUUGAGACUGGGCUGGCUUGAGUGCGGGAGAGGAUGGUGGAAUUCCCAGUGUAGAGGUGAAAUUCGUAGAUAUUGGGAGGAACACCAGUGGCGAAGGCGGCUCACUGGACUGGUACUGACGCUGAGGCGCGAAAGCGUGGGGAGCAAACGGG